rnacentral:rRNA from 1 species
UACGUAGGGGCCGAGCGUUGUCCGGAAUUAUUGGGCGUAAAGGGCUCGUAGGCGGUUUGUCGCGUCGGGAGUGAAAUCCACUGGCUUAACUGGUGGCUUGCUUUCGAUACGGGCAGACUGGAGGUAUGCAGGGGAGAACGGAAUUCCUGGUGUAGCGGUGAAAUGCGCAGAUAUCAGGAGGAACACCGGUGGCGAAGGCGGUUCUCUGGGCAUGUCCUGACGCUGAGGAGCGAAAGUGUGGGGAGCGAACAGG